AACUCCAUUCCAACCACUGAUAAAACACAUUUGACGCAAACGCCAAUUAACUGGUACAUAUCGUUUAAAUAUAAUAUUAUUUCCAGUAUUUUCUUUUAUAUUUUUCCGACUAUUAAUGUUUACCCGCUAGUCGUCUGCGUUGAGACAUCGGCGCAUGCGCGUAAUGAGCAGCGAAAUGCUAAUCCACGGCAUACAUGUUUGUGUAAUGAGACUACUUGCUUGCUUAAAUAAAUAUUGAGUGACCGAUCAACGCGCUGAGUUAAUCAAUCUCUCACAUACCACUCAAAAAAUGGAUGUUAAAUAAUUAGACGUAAUGGAUUUUAACCGAGUACAGCGAAAGAAAAAGUAUCUUUCAUUACAAUAAAUAAAUGUGGCGCUAAAUGCUUUGCACUAUACUGUGACAUGUUAUUGCUUUUAUGUGUUCGUAAAUUAAUUUAAUAAUGUCAAUUUCAUUAUAGAAUUAUGCAUUAAUUAAUAACAUAUUUCUUUUAAAAAACAUAUCUUACUAGUCCCUGCAGCAAUCAUAAGAGAAGGUCCGUCUCCUUAAUGGGUUUUUACAGGCCAAUGCUUUUGUUAAAAAUAACAGUACAAUUAAAAAACUCAUUCAAAACAAGGAAAAACCCCAUUUAAACCACGUUUCGAAUUCAAAUCAGACACCCGCUUGGUUUAUUACGUCGAUAUGUAAAUUUUGUACAGCGUCACUACCCUUAUAAAGACCCUGUUUGAAUUGAAAAUUUAGUUGAACGAGCGAGAGUACGCCGACAUUCAGCCAGUGCGGCCACGUCUUUCAGCGAACUCGCUGCUUCCCUAACGUAACACGCAAAUAAAACCUUUAAAAAUACUAAUCAUUGACAUAAAACCUCCUUAUUUACACAUGUGACGGUAAAUAUAAUUAUCUGUGACUUUUGCAAAAAAAAGCGCGCGAAUAUAGUUGUUAUUGAUUAUCUGUGACAUAACGGAUCUGUCAAAAAGCGCGCGUGUAUGCAGGGCUACCAUUGGCUCGUGCGACUCGGUUGUUAUGACGAUAAACCGUAACAAGUGACGCAUACAGUGACGUGUCACUCGUAAUUUCGAUCUGUCAAAACGUGAAAGAGAUGGAAGAUAUUUUGGAGCGAGACAGAAGAUCGUUUGCUUGCUUCUUGCAUGUUACGUUUUACACCUAGUUGCGGCGGAAGUGCGUAACACGCGCACCGGCUGUGACGUCACGGCCGCCGAGGACACCGGAAGCGGACCGUGGCGCCGCACGCCGGAACCGGACGUCGGAACGCACGAUAUCGUCUUACCGGGGUUGUGGUCUUAUGCUAAUGCGGAAAGGACCGAAUAUUCAAGAUCUACUGUUUGUGAAGAAAUUGAUUUUCAACACAUCAAGAAAAUAAACAUCUGAAAAGACAAAAAAUUCAAUCCAUUGAACCAUAAUCUCUGGAGCGAAGAACCCGAAGAAAAUACUAAAGACAAGUGGUUUCUUAGGUUUACGCGAAUGUUAGACAUUGAAAUGAAACGACUUUUAGA